rnacentral:lncRNA from 1 species
CUGCCAGUAUUAAUGUUUGAUUUAUCAAAUUAUGAACAUCCAGUAAUCAUAACAUUUAAAUCUCAACAUAAUAUGUAUGAGCUAAUUGAGGCAUCCCAAAAUGUAGUAUUUAUCCACAAAACAUCUUGGCAACAAAUAGGACAUAGAAAAAGUGAGAAACGCCCUCAGUGUGAAAUACCCUCCCCUUAAUGUCACACGAAAAGGUUUUCAGGGAAAAGGACCACAGGCUGAAAACCUUCCACUCGAUCGAACCAAUCGCUGCUCGUAUGUCCUUUCAUGGUAUAGUACAUCUAAUCAUGAACACAGAAAUACACAGCAAAGACCUUUUUACUCAAAAACCCAGCUACUCUCUGACAGUCACCAUCAGACCAUCAGACCGCAACAUGGACAGGCUGUGUGUCACCCUGAUUGCAUUCUUAUGUGCUGUUUCCUCCAGUCAGGAUGGGAUCUCUGCAGCAGAGGUGGAGAUGAAAGUCAGACCAGGAGACAACAUCACUCUCUACUGUGACUGUAACAUAACUUCUGGAAUAUACAUAAUGUGGUAUAGGAACUGUUCUCACAAGUACCAGCCUCCUCUUGUUAUUUUAACUAAGUUUUUAAGUUCCAUCUCUCUCCCUGGAUUUAAUGUGUUAUGGAACCCCUCUAACAUCUCCUAUGAUCUACUGAUUGAGAACAUCACUGAAUCUGACCUGGCACUCUACUACUGUGGGACUGUGAAGUACAAGUUUCAAGAAGGAAAACGAAUGAAAUAUAAAGAGUUGGUCCACUGUGGAAACAUCACCACUAGGAUUUCACUUGAAACCUGUCCUCCUGCCAGUCUAUGUCCAGAAACCAGUCCUCCUGAGCCAUCCUCAUCCUCCCCUCC